rnacentral:ncRNA from 1 species
UGAUAGCGAGGAUGUGUGAGGUUGCCGGUGUUACGCAGCACCGGGUUUUUACACGGAGCGAAUGUCAGUCAUAGACACUGACGACA